rnacentral:rRNA from 1 species
GACGAACGCUGGCGGCGUGCUUAACACAUGCAAGUCGAACGGAAAGGCCCUGCUUUUGUGGGGCGCUCGAGUGGCGAACGGGUGAGUAACACGUGAGUAACCUGCCCUUGACUUUGGGAUAACUUCAGGAAACUGGGGCUAAUACCGGAUAGGAGCUCCUGCUGCAUGGUGGGGGUUGGAAAGUUUCGGCGGUUGGGGAUGGACUCGCGGCUUAUCAGCUUGUUGGUGGGGUAGUGGCUUACCAAGGCUUUGACGGGUAGCCGGCCUGAGAGGGUAACCAGCGACAUUAGGACUGAGAUACGGCGCAGACUCCUACGGGAGGCAACGGUGGGGAAUAUUGCACAAUGGGCGGAAGGCUGAUGCAACGACGCCGCGUGCGGGAUGACGGCCUUCGGGUUGUAAACCGCUUUCGCCUGUGACGAGGCGUGAGUGACGGUAAUGGGUAAAGAAGCACCGGCUAACUACGUG